GACGGAGGGAGCUAGCGUUGUUCGGAAUUACUGGGCGUAAAGCGCGCGUAGGCGGCUUUGUAAGUUAGAGGUGAAAGCCCGGAGCUCAACUCCGGAACUGCCUUUAAAACUGCAUCGCUUGAAUCCAGGAGAGGUGAGUGGAAUUCCGAGUGUAGAGGUGAAAUUCGUAGAUAUUCGGAAGAACACCAGUGGCGAAGGCGGCUCACUGGACUGGUAUUGACGCUGAGGUGCGAAAGCGUGGGGAGCAAACAGG
rnacentral:rRNA from 1 species